rnacentral:rRNA from 1 species
AGAGACAGCAGUCGCCGCGGUAAUACGUAGGGUGCAAGCGUUAAUCGGAAUUACUGGGCGUAAAGCGUGCGCAGGCGGUUUGUUAAGACAGAUGUGAAAUCCCCGGGCUUAACCUGGGAACUGCAUUUGUGACUGGCAAGCUAGAGUCUGGCAGAGGGGGGUGGAAUUCCGCGUGUAGCAGUGAAAUGCGUAGAUAUGCGGAGGAACACCGAUGGCGAAGGCAGCCCCCUGGGCCAACACUGACGCUCAUGCACGAGAGCGUGGGGAGCAAACAGGAUUAGAUACCCCCGUAGUCCCUGUCUCUUAUAC